rnacentral:rRNA from 1 species
CAUGCAAGUCGAACGAAGUGGCCCAUUGAAGAUGGAGUGCUUGCACAAAGUCAGAUUUGGUUACCACUUAGUGGCAGACGGGUGAGUAACACGUGGGUAACCUACCUCAAAGACUGGGACAACAGUUGGAAACGACUGCUAAUACCGGAUAAUCCAUAUUUAGAUAACUAGAUAUGUUAAAAGAAGCGUUUGCUUCACUUUGAGAUGGGCUUGCGGCGCAUUAGAUAGUUGGUGGGGUAAUGGCCUACCAAGUCGACGAUGCGUAUCCGAGCUGAGAGGCUGAUCGGACACACUGGGACUGAGACACGGCCCAGACUCCUACGGGAGACAGCAGUUAGGAAUAUUCGUCAAUGGGGGAAACCCUGAACGAGCAAUGCCGCGUGAGUGAUGAAGGCCCUAUGGGUCGUAAAACUCUGUUAUAAGGGAAGAAACCUUGGUAUAGGAAAUGAUAUCAAGCUGACGGUACCUUAUCAGAAAGCCCCGGCUAACUACGUG